rnacentral:sRNA from 1 species
GAUGUUCGAGAUAAUAAGAUAGUUCGUCACACUGUGUAUCUCCUGGUAACGCCUCGUGUUGUUGAGGAAGCACGAAAACAUUUUGAUUGUCCAGUUCUAGAGGGAAUGGAACUUGAAAAUCAAGGUGGUAUGGGCACUGAGCUCAACCAUUGGGAAAAAAGGUUAUUAGAGAAUGAAGCGAUGACUGGUUCUCACACUCAGAAUCGAGUACUCUCUCGAAUCACUCUGGCAUUAAUGGAGGACACCGGGUAAGACAGCUGUGACAAGAGGAUAUGAAUUGUUUAUGAAAAUGAAAUUAAUACUGAGCUUAUAGCUUAAGAAAAUGCUGACAUUUUAUGCUGAAGCAAAAUAUACUUAUUAAUUAUUUGAAUCUUGUACAGUUAGCUGUCCGUUAUUCAUACCAACUCCAUUCAUUCAUUCAAUAAAUACUUUUGUUGUUGGUUUUAAAAUAGGGUCUCACUCCUGUUGCGCAGGCUGGAGUGCAGUGGCAAUCUGGACUCACUAAUCCUGGACUUCCCGGGCUCAAGCAAUCCUCUCACCUCAGCUUCCUGAGUGGCUGGGACUACAGGCACAUGCCACCAUGCCUGGCUAACUUUUUGUAUUUUUAAUAGAGUCGGGGUUUUGUCAUGUUGCUCAGGUUCA